GGAAAACGACUGCCUAAACUCUAAACCUUCUCUUCCGGUGGUUCUGUUCUGUUAAUCCCAAGAAUAUAUAGUUCUCAGCCUGACUCUUAUUUCUCUCCACAAUUCAUCACAUAAAAAUAAAGCUCUACCAGUUCAUAUGUUUAAAUCAUGGAGCAAAAAGCUGGACUCCUUUCAGUUGUUUUCUUAAAUAAUAAUAGUUAGCAUAUUAUUUCAAACAAGCAAUCUCUCUCU
rnacentral:lncRNA from 1 species